rnacentral:lncRNA from 1 species
AUCAAAUUCAAAGAAACCUUAAAAGAAUUACAAAGAAAUAAUAAAAAAUCUUAAAAAAAUAAUAGAAUGAUCACAAAUAUAUCUCAAAUAAAUUUCAAUCAAAAAUUAAUUUAAUCCUAAUUGAAAUUCUAUUGGACUUCAUUCAAAAUUUAGGCCAAAAACUAAUUAAAUCUUAAACUUUAAAUAAACCUUAAAUAAAUCCUUAACCAAAUCCUAAAUCUUAAAUCAGCUUUUAACCAAAUCCUAAUUUCAAAUCAAAUCUUAGCAAAUCCUAAAUCCUAAACCAACACCUCAUCAAAACCUAAUCCUAAAUCAAACCCUAACCAAAUCUUAAACUUUAAAUCAACCUUUAAUUAAAUCCUAAACCAUAAAUCAACUCCUAACCAAAUCCAAAUCUUAAAUCAAAUCUUAACCAAAUCCUAAAUCCUAAACUCUAAAUCAAAUCUUAACCAAAGCCUAAAUCCUAAAUCAGAUCCUAACCAAAUUCUAAAUCUUAAAUCCUAAAUCAAAUCCUAAUCAAAAUUUAAAUCUUAAAUCAAAUCCUAACCAAAUUCUAAUCUUAAUCAAAUCCUAAUCAAAUUCAAAAUCCUAAAUCAAAUCCUAACAAAAUCUUAAUCCUAAUUAAUUCCUAACUAAAUCUUAAAUUCUAAACCAAAUCCUAAAUC